CCCAGCCCAUUGACUUAUGUCCACUGUAGUGGACAUUUGAGUUUCAUCCCUCUCCUUGGAAUCUUUUGUGCAAGUCUCUUAAUUCCUGCUGUACUGUACAGAGGACAUCCUGGGCUUUUCAGGGAUAUGUUAUUUGAUUGGCUGGGAGGCCGGGAACCCCCUCAAUCUUUCAAUCCAAAAUGGACGGCAUAGGAACAAGCACAUUUUAUGGAAAGAUAAAAGAUUUGCACCUGUGUUAUUUGGGCUUCCUGUGUGUCAAGAUCAACCUACAACACGUGCAGACUGGAGUCCAAUGGAAUAUUUUUUGAAAACCAAGCAUGCAGAAAGAUGCUCUAAUAAGGGCUACAAGAGUAAGACGUACAUGAGAUGUACUAAAUGCAAGAUUUUCCCAUGCUUUACCAAAAAGAGAAAUUGCUUCCAAGACUAUCACCACAGAACAUACUAAGAACAAAAUGAAAAGUGAAGGAAAAACUAGAUUGGAUUCAGUUUGACAGAAGGAAAAAAAAUCCCCCAAAAAUCAGUUUCACAUUAGUUCUGUGUUCAUUGUUCAAAUAACACUAAAAGGAUUCAAGGGGACCAAUAAAAGGAUACGGACAUAACAAAGUGUUAAGCUUUAAUAGUAAACAUAUACUCGCAAAAUGUAAGGAAAAGGAUUCAAGAAUGAUAAAUGUGUAUAUUGUAUAAUCAAAAUGUCUGUAUUCUUGGAUAAUAGUCAAUUUACAGCCCAAAAUGUAUGUAUUCUUAGUUAAAAAAAACUUUAUAAUCUGGUCAAAUUUGUAUCUACCAAACGUGUUUGUUUUCAUACUCAAAUUAUCCUAUUGUCUACUACAGUGGACAUGCUGUAAAACAAAAAUAAAAAAUAAAAAUAAAAAUGUCUAAA